UCGGUGCGAACUACGUUUCACCGCCUUUCCUGCUCUUCUUACCUAAGCUGAAGCGAGUGAGGAAUCUCAACGCGCAGAUCGCUGAUUCGCAGUCUGAAGCGUCGACGAGUGUGAGUAGGAUCAAUGCGAGCAGUAUCUCACAGAAACCGCCCGCAGUGCUAGCCAUAGAGCUGAAGAUCACCAAGGAUCGUCUGAGAGAGUACGAAGCAAAGAUCGAGGUACAAGAGAGAGUAAUCCGCGAUCUAAGAGCACGCAUUAUUGAUGCCUAAACACACGGACACGAUUAAUACCAAUCUGACCCACGGAUGGCGCCACUUUACUGCCGUGCAGAAUAAUGACAAAAGCGCGAAAUUCAGAAGGCACAAGCUAAAUUCUCAAUUAAAAACUCAAUUAAAAAUUAAAAAAGUCUCCUUUGUCAUCAGAGCAGGAGAUUACGAUUUACUUUCCAAUCCUCAGUCAAUAAAU